GCCAGAUCUUUUACUCUUUCCCCCUCUUUUUCUCUUCCCCUCACUUCAAGGGUCCCUCCAUUUAGUCUGGUCUCCUUUCAGCAAAAGACAGGGAGAAGCUGAAGACUCUGAAUGUAUCAGCGAUUGUUCUGCCACCUAGGGUGGUUGUGGGCAAGAAAGGCAGAGUUACCAUCAGUGUGGAGGGCAGGCUGGCAGACAGGGUACAGAUGACAUGGUUUCUUAAUGAUGUCCUCAUAACAGACACUUCAUAUACAGGAGACAGUGUGUCUCCUGACUAAGAGGCCUAGGUCACGUAGGCCACCUCUCUAGUGUCUUCAUGACCCAACAACAAACAUUUGAUUAUGAAUGUUUCUGCCAAGUUAACAAGAAUACAACUUCAUCUCUCCUGAGGGAAAGUACAAUUACCUCUAUGUUUUAAGUUCCAAUAAGAUAAGAUCAGUCUCCAACAGAAGCAUUGUAAUAUAAGACCUUGAAUAGGAGAAACUCUGUGUGUGUUUUUCCAAAGGUAUUUCUGUUUCAGGAAUUAAGUGAGGAUAGCAGUCGAGAGGUGGACAACUGGACCUCAGAGACCUACUACUGUCCAUAAGGGGAAGACUGUCCGUGGCCUAGGACCUGACUCAGACCAUUGGAUCCUAUAUACGGAACUAAAAUAUCAUGCCAAUAAUCAAUGAGAUAAACGAUGUACAUGAUGACCAUGUUCAGAAAUGUUCUAUAGUUAUCUAUGCUUGUAACCAAUCAGAAUUCUAGAAACUAUAGCAUUAACGUCAACGUAACUGUGUAUCUGACUAUAAGCAUUGAUGUUUUUGGAACUGAGUUCAGUUCGUGAUUCUCCUGUCUUCGAACUCAGAGGCUUUUGCACUGCUGACUUCGGCCAUUUUGAUUUUGCAAACAACUCUCUUCAGUAAAAUUCAACUAAUUUGAUUGACACCUCGACUUCUGGUCUUCAUUCCAAGCCUACUGGUCUACGGGCCCAAGCUGUAAUCCCCUACACUAGAGAUUCACCUUCCCAACGCUUUCAAAAAUGGUCUGAUUAUUGUAUGGAUUUCAUGACUACACCUUUUUACUUGUCAGCGAGUCAGAGUUUACAUUAUGUAAAUGAUUCCCAAUACAUCCUGCAGCUUCAGUGGUCUUUGGGUGACACUUGAUUAAUUUCAGGGUGUUUCACAAGAAUUUUGCCUAGUAUAUGAACACUCCGGCAGACCAUCUCAGAUGUCGGUGUCACAUGCAGCAUGGUUCACUUAUAACACGCUGUGUUACGAAAAAUGCACCAGGACGAUUCCAAAUGCUGUAUAUUUUAUAGUUUAUACUAAACUAAUGUUGCCAUGUAUAAAACAAGCAUGUGAUCCACUAAAGUCAUGUGAUCCACAACUAGUCGACACAGACCCAACAUGUUGACGAGUGGUAGAACCACUUGAAAAGCCGAGCCAAUACAAGUUAAUUGACGUUUUGAAGUGGCAUUAAAUGCAUUGUUUCUGCACAGCUCUCAUUACAGUGUGUGAAAGGGACAAAUCCAGAUGAUAAUAAUGUAGUGUCAGACCUAGUAGAUAUGCCAGGGUUGGUUUUUUGUACA